rnacentral:tmRNA from 1 species
GGGGGCGACAUGGCUUCGACGUGGGUAGCAAAACCUUGAGUGCAUGCCGAGGACUGUACACCUCGUAAAUCCUACAGAAAAAAAGUAUUCGCAAACGACGAAAACUACUCGGUGGCUUUAGCAGCUUAAACCCUGCACCACCUCUCUGGCUGUGUGUGCUUAUGCGUGCAGAGUCCUUCGGGACAUCCAGGGAUCAUCUUACAUAAGAUCGCGCCAGGGCUUAGUUCGGAGCCUAAAGCGCUAAACCCAAUCGAAAUCGCUGGUGAUUUUCUUGGCCCGACGGGUAGUCAUCAGCUAAACCAAAGCGCGGGAUAAGCAUGUAGACCUUGUGGCGGAGUGCUUGCGGACGGGGGUUCAAUUCCCCCCGCCUCCACCA